CGCUGCCCCACGGCCCCGCUUCUCUUGAACAAGACAGUCCUUUAAGAUGGCAUUAAGCUAGAACAACACAUUUUUUUGUACUUGGCGGAUAGCAUCGCUACUAUGUUUUCCAAUAAGUUUCUGGUUAUAAUGUAAAGCCUGUGUGAUUGCCUUUUUCGACACAGUCUAUCGUUAGCCAGUUUCACACUUACCUCACUCCCUCAGCUGCCGCCUUUACCGGAAGAGGUACAAGACGACAAGACCGCCAUCAAAUGUGAAGCCUCGACCCCCGCCUUGCUGCGGUUCCUUCGGCUAGACCGGCUGGACAGGGGGUCACCGCACAGAGCCAGCUACGAGGACAUCAGGGACGCCCACAACUCGACAGGCUCUCAGGACGGCCCCGGGGGCAACCCCAGCAGCAGCAGCAGCAGCAGCCAGGACUUGCUGCAGAAAGCCCCAAAGAAGAAGGGCAUCAAGUCCUCCAUCGGCCGUUUGUUUGGCAAGAAGGAGAAGGGCCGGCCUGGACACCCCGGCAAGGAGGUGCUAGGACCAGUGGCAGGCAAGAUCUUUACCGCUAGAACCACCUGGAAAGCCCCAGUGAACGCUGACAACUAGGAAAUGCAGAAAAUAAGGGCUGCUCCUAAGUUAAACUGGAAGAGCAGCAAGCACAGAUUGUAAAGAGGAAAACACACGAUGACCGACAACAGUGCUGACAGAAACAAGCAGGGAUGCGUUCACCCACAUCAAGAAAAUGUGCCAUUCGGAAGAGGAGCCCUUGGAGGGACAGUUGGAACCGGAAUGAAAACUUAGUCCAUGGUAGGCAGUGCCCACUCACACGGCCCGAGUGGAGUGGUGUCACUCACCGGGCUUUCUGCAUCCCCAGAGCUGCUGGCAGUAACAUCUGGGCGCUGAGGCCGGGCAACGUCCCCGAGUGAGCUAAGGCACCCCUGCUCUCCUUCCAGUGCUGCUGCGGGGCCCUCUGUGGGCGGCCACCCUCAUCCCCUGCUCUGCCACCCACUGGGGCCCGACUGUUCCCCUGGGAUCCUUUCAGCCCUUGAGCUUGUGUGUUCCCAGCCCUCUGCCACACCGGACUGGGAUGCAACUCAGGACUUGGGCUUGAGAUAUUAAGGAGACCGUGAAUCUGGAAGGACACAGCCCUGGGGUCCUCGAGUGACCACGUGAGAGAGCUGGAGAGCAAAGCCCCCUCGGGGAGGAAGCAGAGCUUUGAAACGUGCCCACACCCACCGCUGCCUCGGCACAAGUGCCUCUUCUUUGCCUCUCCUUGGCCUGAAACAGACCCCAGCUGCUACUGCUGCUCCGCAGGUGAUUGCUAAAGAUGCACCUCCUGCAAGAGCUAUUGUCCUGCUGCUCUGGGGCUGCCUAAGUGUGCUCAGGAGUGUCAGACAAGUGGGGCUGCCACGCCUGACGCUGGGGGAGGGCCUGAUGCUGGACUAGGGCCUGAUGCUGGAGGAGGGCCUGAUGCUGGAGGAGGGCCCUGAUGCUGGACUAUGGGCCUGAUGCUAGAGGAGGGCCUGAUGCUGGGGGAGGCCCUGAUGCUGGAGGAGGGCCUGAUGCUGGACUAUGGGCCUGAUGCUGGGGGAGGACCUGAUGCUGGAGGAGGGCCCUGAGGCUGGGGGAGGACCUGAUGCUGGAGGAGGGCCUGAUGCUGGACUAUGUGCCUGAUGCUGGGGGAGGCCCUGAUGCUGGAGGAGGGCCUGAUGCUGGACUAUGGGCCUGAUGCUGGAGGAGGGCCUGAUGCUGGACUAUGGGCCUGAUGCUGGGGGAGGACCUGAUGCUGGAGGAGGGCCCUGAUGCUGGGGCAGGAACAUCUGAUGCUGGACUAGGGUCUGAUUCUGGGGGAGGCCCUGAUGCUGGACUGAGGCCUGAUGCUGGGGGAGGUCCUGAUCCUGGACUAGGGCCUGAUGCUGGAGGAGGGCCUGAUGCUGGGGAGGGCCUGAUGCUUGGGGAGGGUCUGAUGCUGGACUAUGGCCUGAUGCUUGGGGUAAAUAAACGUCUGAUGCUGGCGGGAAGGUGUGAUGAUGGUGGGCAGCCUGCUCCCAGAUGUACGAAGAGUUGUGAUUAUAAAUAUGAGAAAUCUUUUUUUCAUACUUUCCUGACCACCUUGCUAUGUUCUUUUUUUCUGAAGCAUAAUUCUGUGCAAUAUAGAUUUGAUUUCUGCCAUACAUCAACAUGAAUUAGCCAUAGGUGUACAAAUGUCCCCUCCCUCUUGAAUCUCCCUCCCACCUCCCUUUGCUACAUUCUUGUCUCUAUGGAUAUAUGAAUAAUAAAGACUUGACUAAAAUAACAUCAAAAGCUCCCACACACAAGCAUGCACACGCACACUCCCUAGUGCAUCAUUCGGGUCCGCGUCAGGGUUGCCCUCGGCCACCCCGCCCUGGGAUCCACGGUGAGCCUUGACACCUGCACUUUGUUCCCACCCUGGGCCCGCUGCCCACGCCUCAGCAGCAGAGGG
ensembl:lncRNA